rnacentral:rRNA from 1 species
CGACCUGAGAUCAGACGAGAUU